rnacentral:rRNA from 1 species
UGCGGCCGCGAUACCGGUUGAUCCUGCCGGACCCGACCACUAUCGGGGUGGGGCUAAGCCAUGGAAGUCGAACGCUCCGCAAGCGCGGGGCGUGGCAGACGGCUGAGUAACACGUGGCCAACCUACCCUCGGGACGGGGAUAGUCUCGGGAAACUGGGGCUAAUCCCCGAUAGGCGGAGAUGCCUGGAAGGGUUCUCCGCCUAAAGGGCUAGGCCGCUGUGAAGGCCUAGCCGCCCGAGGAUGGGGCUGCGGCCCAUCAUGGUAGUUGGCGGGGUAACGGCCCGCCAAGCCGAUAACGGGUAGGGGCCGUGAGAGCGGGAGCCCCCAGAUGGGCACUGAGACAAGGGCCCAGGCCCUACGGGGUGCACCAGGCGCGAAACCUCCGCAAUGCGGGAAACCGUGACGGGGCCACCCCGAGUGCCCCGAAGAGGGGCUUUUCCCCGCUGUAAGUAGGCGGGGGAAUAAGCGGGGGGCAAGUCUGGUGUCAGCCGCCGCGGUAAUACCAGCCC